rnacentral:rRNA from 1 species
UACGUAGGCAGCAAGCGUUGUUCGGAAUUACUGGGCGUAAAGAGUGUGUAGGCGGUUCUCUAAGUUCGGUGUGAAAUCUCCCGGCUUAACUGGGAGGGUGCGCCGGAAACUGGAGGGCUUGAGCGCGGGAGAGGAAAGCGGAAUUCCUGGUGUAGCGGUGAAAUGCGUAGAUAUCAGGAGGAACACCGGCGGUGUAGACGGCUUUCUGGACCGUAGCUGACGCUGAGACACGAAAGCGUGGGUAGCAAACAGG